AGAGUUUGAUCCUGGCUCAGAAUGAACGCUGGCGGCGUGCCUAACACAUGCAAGUCGAGCGAGAAAGCUCCUUCGGGAGUGAGUACAGCGGCGGACGGGUGAGUAACACGUGAGAAUCUACCCUUUAGUGAAGAAUACCUUUGAGAAAUCAAAGUUAAUACUGCAUACGUCCCUUCGGGGAGAAAGAUGGCCUCUUUGCUGUCGCUAAAGGAUGAGCUUGCGGACUAUUAGCUUGUUGGUGAGGUAAAGGCUCACCAAGGCGAUGAUGGAUAGCCGGCCUGAGAGGGUGUACGGCCACACUGGAACUUAGACACGGUCCAGACUCCUACGGGAGGCAGCAGUGAGGAAUCUUGCGCAAUGGGCGAAAGCCUGACGCAGCGACGCCGCGUGGAGGAUGAAGGUUUUAGGAUCGUAAACUCCUGUUAAGUGGGAAGAAAGACUUGCUUUUAAUAGAAGCGAGGGAUGACGGUACCAUUAGAGAAAGCACCGGCUAACUUCGUGCCAGCAGCCGCGGUAAUACGAGGGGUGCUAGCGUUAUUCGGAUUUAUUGGGCGUAAAGGGUGCGUAGACGGCUUAUUAAGUCAACUGUUAAAUUCUCCGGCCUAACUGGAGAUCUGCGGUAGAAACUGAUAGGAUUGAGGGUGGAAGAGAGAAGUGGAAUUCUCGGAGUAGCGGUAAAAUGCGUAGAUCUCGAGAGGAACACCGAUGGCGAAGGCAGCUUCUUGGUCCAUACCUGACGUUGAGGCACGAAAGCGUGGGGAGCAAACAGGAUUAGAUACCCUGGUAGUCCACGCUGUAAACGAUGAUCACUAGACGUUAACUCUGCUUGCAGAGUCAGUGUCGUAGCUAACGCGUUAAGUGAUCCGCCUGGGAGUACGGUCGCAAGGCUAAAACUCAAAGGAAUUGACGGGGGCUCGCACAAGCGGUGGAACAUGUGGUUUAAUUCUACAAUACGCGAGGAACCUUACCUAGGCUUGACAUGUUUUUGACAGUCGUGGAAACACGAUCUUCUAUGCUUCGGUAUAGACAAUUGCACAGGUGCUGCAUGGUUGUCGUCAGCUCGUGUCGUGAGAUGUUGGGUUAAGUCCUUUAACGAGCGCAACUCUUGCCGAUAGUUGCAACUUGAUUUAUCAAGGCACUCUAUUGGGACUGCCCGGGAAACCGGGAGGAAGGUGGGAAUGACGUCAAAUCAUCAUGGCCCUUAUGCCUAGGGCUACACACGUGUUACAAUGGUUGGUACAACAGGUAGCAAUUCCGUAAGGAUGAGCAAAUCCCAAAAGCCAAUCUAAGUUCGGAUUGCGGUCUGCAACUCGACCGCAUGAAGUUGAAAUCGCUAGUAAUCGCGCAUCAGCAACGGCGCGGUGAAUACGUUCACGAGCCUUGUACACACCGCCCGUCACACCACGAAAGCAGUUUGUACCCGAAACUAUCUUAGCCAACCCUUCGGGGAGGCGGGUAUCUAAGGUAUGGGGAGUAAUUGGGGUGAAGUCGUAACAAGGUA
rnacentral:rRNA from 1 species